UUCCAGACUCCUACGGGAGGCAGCAGUGGGGAAUAUUGCACAAUGGGGGAAACCCUGAUGCAGCGACGCCGCGUGAGCGAUGAAGUAUUUCGGUAUGUAAAGCUCUAUCAGCAGGGAAGAAGAAAGACGGUACCCGACCAAGAAGCCCCGGCUAACUACGUGCCAGCAGCCGCGGUAAUACGUAGGGGGCGAGCGUUAUCCGGAAUUACUGGGUGUAAAGGGAGCGUAGACGGCGAGGUAAGCCUGAAGUGGAAGCCCGCGGCCCAACCGCGGAACUGCUUUGGGAACUGUUUUGCUGGAGUAUGGGAGGGGUAAGCGGAAUUCCUGGUGUAGCGGUGAAAUGCGUAGAUAUCAGGAGGAACACCGGUGGCGAAGGCGGCUUACUGGACCAUAACUGACGUUGAGGCUCGAAAGCGUGGGGAGCGAACAGGAUUAGAUACCCUCGUAAC
rnacentral:rRNA from 1 species